rnacentral:tRNA from 5 species
GCCGCCAUAGCUCAGUAGGUAGAGCACUCGGCUGUUAACCGAGCGGUCGUCGGUUCAAACCCGACUGACGGCG